rnacentral:rRNA from 1 species
UACGGAGGGUGCAAGCGUUAAUCGGAAUUACUGGGCGUAAAGCGUGCGUAGGCGGUUCGUUAAGUCUGUUGUGAAAGCCCCGGGCUCAACCUGGGAAUGGCAAUGGAUACUGGCGAGCUAGAGUGUGUCAGAGGAUGGUGGAAUUCCCGGUGUAGCGGUGAAAUGCGUAGAGAUCGGGAGGAACAUCAGUGGCGAAGGCGCCAUCUGGGACAACACUGACGCUGAGGCACGAAAGCGUGGGAGCGAACAGGAUAGAACCUUG